GAUGAACGCUGGCGGCGUGCCUAAUACAUGCAAGUCGAGCGAACAGACGAGGAGCUUGCUCCUCUGACGUUAGCGGCGGACGGGUGAGUAACACGUGGAUAACCUACCUAUAAGACUGGGAUAACUUCGGGAAACCGGCGCUAAUACCGGAUAAUAUAUUGAACCGCAUGGUUCAAUAGUGAAAGACGGUUUUGCUGUCACUUAUAGAUGGAUCCGCGCCGCAUUAGCUAGUUGGUAAGGUAACGGCUUACCAAGGCGACGAUGCGUAGCCGACCUGAGAGGGUGAUCGGCCACACGGGAACUGAGACACGGUCCAGACUCCUACGGGAGGCAGCAGUAGGGAAUCGUCCGCAAUGGGCGAAAGCCUGACGGAGCAACGCCGCGUGAGUGAUGAAGGUCUUCGGAUCGUAAAACUCUGUUAUUAGGGAAGAACAAAUGUGUAAGUAACUAUGCACGUCUUGACGGUACCUAAUCAGAAAGCCACGGCUAACUACGUG
rnacentral:rRNA from 1 species